AACGAACGCCGGCGGUAUGCUUAACACAUGCAAGUCGAACGAACAAAAUUGGGGCUUGCUCCAAUUUUAGUGAGUGGCAAACGGGUGGGUAACACGUGGGAAUCUACCUAUCAGUACGGAAUAACAUUUGGAAACAGAUGCUAAUACCGUAUAUUCUCCAAGGAGGAAAGAUUUAUCGCUGAUAGAUGAGCCCGCGCAAGAUUAGGUAGUUGGUAGGGUAAUGGCCUACCAAGCCGACGAUCUUUAGCUGGUCUGAGAGGAUGAUCAGCCACACUGGGACUGAGACACGGCCCAGACUCCUACGGGAGGCAGCAGUGGGGAAUAUUGGACAAUGGGCGAAAGCCUGAUCCAGCAAUACCGCGUGAAUGAUGAAGGCCUUAGGGUUGUAAAGUUCUUUUAGUUGGAAAGAUAAUGACGGUACCAACAGAAAAAGCCCCGGCUAACUCCGUGCCAGCCGCCGCAGUAA
rnacentral:rRNA from 1 species